rnacentral:rRNA from 1 species
UACGAAGGGGGCUAGCGUUGUUCGGAAUUACUGGGCGUAAAGCGCGCGCAGGCGGUCUUCCAAGUCAGUGGUGAAAGCCCGGAGCUCAACUCCGGAAUUGCCAUUGAAACUGUUAGACUUGAGGAUGAGAGAGGUGAGUGGAAUUCCCAGUGUAGAGGUGAAAUUCGUAGAUAUUGGGAAGAACACCGGUGGCGAAGGCAGGUCUCUGGGCUGACACUGACGCUCAUGCACGAAAGCGUGGGGAGCAAACAGG